AAGUCGUAACAAGGUAUCCGUAGGUGAACCUGCGGAUGGAUCAUUAAGAAGUACUUUUACUCUUUUAGCUAAAAGAGCUAAUCCUUUACCCGAAAGAUGGUGAAAGGUCUUUAACCGAUGUGGUCUAAUAGAACUGUGUUAGUUGGGCAGCAAUUGUGACCAUUAUAUGGUUAUGAUUCGCCCGACAUUAUACUAAACCAUAAUACUUUUAUACAUUACCGACUGAUGUUGCCUUGCGACUCUUUGUGAAUCACACGCGCCUAGUGUGUGUGUGAUGAUCAAUGGUAACAAGUAAAACAAUUGUAAUAAUCUAAUACAACUGCUAGCAACGGAUCACUCGGCUCUCACGUCGAUGAAAAACGCAGC
rnacentral:misc_RNA from 1 species